rfam:Microgenomates (Beckwithbacteria) bacterium GW2011_GWB1_47_15 TX85_C0011, whole genome shotgun sequence.
GCCGUGGUGGCGGAACCGGUAGACGCUCGAGACUUAAAAUCUCGUGGGAGUAUAUCCCGUGUGGGUUCGAGUCCCACCCUCGGCA